UACGUAGGGCGCAAGCGUUGUCCGGAAUUAUUGGGCGUAAAGAGCUCGUAGGCGGUCUGUCGCGUCGGCUGUGAAAACCCGAGGCUCAACCUCGGGCCUGCAGUCGAUACGGGCAGGCUAGAGUUCGGCAGGGGAGACUGGAAUUCCUGGUGUAGCGGUGAAAUGCGCAGAUAUCAGGAGGAACACCGGUGGCGAAGGCGGGUCUCUGGGCCGAUACUGACACUGAGGAGCGAAAGCGUGGGGAGCGAACAGG
rnacentral:rRNA from 1 species